UUUCCCAGUUCCGAUCAGGCGGUACGUGUCCACCCUCCUUCGGCCCGCGUCUCCAGACCAUCCGGGCUCCAGCGGACCCAGCCAGCCGUGCCUCCCAGACUCUACAGCCUCUCUCCCUGGCGGAUCACGCCCACUUCUCGCUCGUGCAAGGUUUCCUGCCCACCCCGACUAAUUUAAUAAACAGCAUCAA